UCUCCCUUCUUUUUUCCCUUCCUGAGCCGCAUGUCCCUCCUGUCUGGCCCAUCUCGCUGCUGCCGAGCGCCCCAGCCUCCUCGCUCGUCUUCCUCCUCGCGCACGACUGGAUUCCAGUAACGCAAGCGGCGCCACCACCGCCGCCGCCGGUUAUCUCCCCUUCGAUUCUCUUGCUCCCAAACGUUUCUCCUCCCAUCACCCCACGAAUCGAUCCUGCCCUUAGGUCCCCGUUCCAUCUCCUUAAUCUCCCCCAAUUCGUAACUGAGGCAAAAAUCAAGGUAGGGCGGCGGCCGCCCUACCUUGCCCUACUGGUACUGGGUCCUCCGCUUUGGUUGCACUGACAUAAGUCCCGCCGUUUUUGUUUCCUGUGGUUGAAUGGCGGGAUCGGUGGCCACCGGAAGGGUGACGCCUCAAUCGUCCCUGAAGCGGUCCAGCGGCAUGGAUCCGCCGUUAUCUUUGGCUGGACCGACCAUGGUCGAUCUCCAGAAGACGUCUGAGCUGGAGAAGUUCUUAGUUGAAGCGGGCCUUUACGAGGGAGAGGAGCAGUCUGCCAAACGGGAGGAGGUGCUACGCGAGAUUGGUCGGAUAGUCAAGGAAUGGGUGAAACAGUUAACUAGUCAGAAAGGGUAUGCUGACCAAAUGGUUGAAAAGGCAAAUGCAGUUCUUUUCACUUUUGGAUCUUACCGAUUGGGGGUUCAUGGGCCUGAAGCUGACAUCGAUAUUGUAUGUGUUGGACCAUCAUAUGUGAACCGAGAGGACGAUUUCUUUGUCACACUACAUGACAUAUUAGCACAAAUGGAAGAAGUGACUCAACUGCAGCCUGUACCUGAUGCUCAUGUACCUGUUAUGAAAUUUAAGUUUCAAGGGAUACCAAUUGAUCUUCUCUACGCCAGAGUAUCUCUUUCAGUAAUACCACCAGAUUUUGACAUCUCUCAAGGAUCUGUGAUUUGUGAUGUUGAUGAAGCAACUGUUCGAAGUCUUAAUGGGUGCAGGGUGGCAGACCAGAUUCUUCGACUUGUUCCAAACACUGAGAACUUCAGGACAACACUCAGGUGUUUGAGGUACUGGGCAAAGAGAAGGGGUGUUUAUUCUAAUGUUACUGGUUUGCUUGGGGGUGUCAAUUGGGCCAUAUUGGUUGCUCGUGUCUGCCAACUCUAUCCUAACGCUGUUCCAAGUAUGCUGGUUUCAAGAUUCUUCAGAGUUUUUACACAGUGGCAGUGGCCAAAUCCGGUGAUGCUUCGUGCAAUUGAGAACGAUGACCUUGGUUUUUCAGCAUGGGAUCCACGUAAAAAUCCUCGUGAUAGAUCCCAUGUUAUGCCCAUCAUUACUCCAGUCAAUCCACGCAUGAACUCUAGCUACAAUGUUUCGACUAGCACAUUGAGGGUUAUCAUGGAGCAAUUUAAGCUCGGAAACAAAAUUCUCCAGGAAAUCGAGCUUAAUAAGGCCAGUUGGACUGCUUUGUUUGAGCCUUUCCAGUUUUUUGAGGCAUAUACAAAAUAUCUAGUGGUCGACAUUGUUGCAGAUGAUGACGAUGAUCUUCGGCUUUGGAAGGGAUGGGUUGAAUCUCGACUGAGACAGCUGACUUUAAAGAUUGAGCGGGACACCAAAGGAAUGCUGCAGUGUCAUCCUUACCCAUUGGAGUAUGCAAAUCCUUUGGCACAGUGUGCUCACUCUUCCUUCUACAUGGGCUUAUCAAGGAAAGAGGGGAUGAAAAUGCAUGGUCAAAAAUUUGAUAUCCGAGGAACAGUAGAUGAGUUUAUGCAUGAAAUGGGAUUGUAUACAUCGUGGAAGUCUGGGAUGGAUUUAGCAGUUACCCAUGUUCAUAAGAAGCAGAUCCCCUAUUAUGUAUUUGAACAGGGUUACAAGAAACAUUGUCCACCAAUGCUUCCAAACGAGCAAGAGCAGUCUGAUAGAAAUGACAAUGAAGAUGGCACACUGACUGGAUCCCUGGAGGGUCAACUUAAGAGAAAGCAUGAUAUUGAUGAAGCUGGUCACAUCGAAUCAUGCAAAUCUGUUAAAAGGUCUUCAGUAAGUCCAGGUUACAAGGAAACUCCACCUGAGUAUGGGAGCAACAUCAGUAAAAUUGUAUGUGAAAACCCAGUCAAAUCGGUUUCUAGCGCUCUCUGUAGUGGACUUCAGAAUAGUCUGUUGCAUGGUGAUGUAAGUCUGGAACCAUCAAAUUGCUCUAGUUCACCACAUGGAUCUGAGGAGUCUACUGCGUCAGGCUCAAGCUGUGCAGCAGUGGAAACAGUUGGUUUAGUUGAUGAAACUGUUGAUCCUGAAAGCUCAAUGCCAUGUAUUGUAAAUGGCACGGUUCAAACAAUGGCAGUCCACACGCCUAUAAAAUGUGUGGCUGAGAAGGAUGAAAUGAAGUUCGAGGGAAUCAAUAGCUUGGCAAAUCGUGCUGAGUUUCUGGACAAACCAGAAAUGCUCACUGGGAACAUCCUUCCUGAGAAUCUGCACUGAUGGGAAUGUAGUGAUUUGAAGUGGCCUUCCAGAUAGAGCUGAAUGAUGUGAUUGAAGUGGUUUCUAAAGCUCAUGCAGGUGCAGAAUUGGGUAUGCUCCAGAGGCCAGAAAGCAUCAACGAGUUCUCGUCUGUCUGAACUGUGAGGGAGGAGGAUAGUCGAAGGAAACAAUGACUUCUGGCUAAAUGGAUUCUGAGGUUUCAUACCUGUGGUUGGUAAGUUUGUUUGCUCACAAACAUUGCUUCCGAGUUCUGACAUAGAUUUUGUCAGAAGGGGAUCUUAAACGAAGCUUGCGUAGAAAUAUUCAAUCAACUACAUGGAGAUAUAUAUCGGUUGCUUCUUAGAAGGAGAAGACGUUACCAAGGAAUGUGAACAUCUACUAUCUGCAUUACCUGAUCUUAUGCACAAAGUGGUCAGCUUGUAAGUUGUUUACAGUUGCUCUGUUUUACAUUAGUUAAAUAGGUUUAGUCAGGCUUGGGUGGCAUAUUAUCAGUUUUGGUCAUCGAUAAGACUACUGUACACCUUUUACCUGCAAAUUCUGUAACAUCCCGUUGGAUGGGAGCAAGGAAUUAGGUUUCUGAA